GAGACAGAGGAGGCCGCGUCCUGGGAGCGUCCCCACCAUGGCCUGGACGGUGCUUCUGCUCGGGCUCCUCGCCCACAGCUCAGGUGUGGAUUCCCAGACCGUGGUGACCCAGGAGCCGUCACUCUCAGUGUCUUCAGGAGGGACGGUCACACUCACCUGUGGCCUUAGCUCUGGCUCAGUCACUAGUAGUUACUACCCCAGCUGGUUCCAGCAGACCCCAGGCAAGGCUCCCCGCACGCUCAUCUACAGCACAAACAGCAGGCCCUCUGGGGUCCCUGAGCGCUUCUCGGGGUCCAUCUCUGGGAACAAGGCCGCCCUCACCAUCUCGGGGGCCCAGCCUGAGGACGAGGCCGACUAUUACUGUGCUCUGUAUACGGGUAGUUAUACUUACACAGUGAUGGGAACCCACGGGGAAGACAAGCUGGCAGGGCCCCACUGCCCACCUGGGGCAGCGCCAGUGAUUCAGGGAAAAGCUGACUCCGUCCGGGAGUCUCCAGGAGUCUUAGCCGGGUCGGGCCGGGGAGGCUGGUCAGCGCUCCAGUCCUCCCGUCCGGGACGCUGGCUGCCCAGUGGGGACCUGCACUGCAACCUCGCCUUCAGCAAUGAGACCGAUUGA